rnacentral:rRNA from 1 species
AUGCACGCUGGCGGCGUGCCUCAUACCUGCAAGUCGAGCGCACAGAUGAGGAGCUUGCUCCUCUGACGUUAGCGGCGGACGGGUGAGUAACACGUGGAUAACCUACCUAUAAGACUGGGAUAACUUCGGGAAACCGGAGCUAAUACCGGAUAAUAUAUUGAACCGCAUGGUUCAAUAGUGAAAGACGGUUUUGCUGUCACUUAUAGAUGGAUCCGCGCCGCAUUAGCUAGUUGGUAAGGUAACGGCUUACCAAGGCAACGAUGCGUAGCCGACCUGAGAGGGUGAUCGGCCACACUGGAACUGAGACACGGUCCAGACUCCUACGGGAGGCAGCAGUAGGGAAUCUUCCGCAAUGGGCGAAAGCCUGACGGAGCAACGCCGCGUGAGUGAUGAAGGUCUUCGGAUCGUAAAACUCCGUUAUUAGGGAAGAACAAAUGUGUAAGUAACUAUGCACGUCUUGACGGUACCUAAUCAGAAAGCCACGGCUAACUACGUG